GACUGUCCCCUCACAGCUGUGGGCCUCUGGCCUCAGUCCUCAGCUCCUCCAGUCUCACACACCUGGACCUCAGUCACAACGACCUCCAGGACUCAGGAGUGGAGCUGCUGUGUUCUGGACUGAAGAGCGCCCCCUGCAGACUGGAGAGGCUCAGGUUGUCUGGAUGUCUGGUCUCUCAGAGGGGCAGGGCUGCUCUGGCCUCAGCUCUGAGCUCCGCCCCCUCCCACCUGAGAGAGUUAGACCUGAGCUACAACCAUCCAGGACCCUCAGCCGAGCUCCUGACCGCUCUACAGGACCAGCGCCCCC
ensembl:lncRNA